UACGAAGGGGGCUAGCGUUGUUCGGAAUUACUGGGCGUAAAGCGCGUGUAGGCGGGUCUUUAAGUCAGGGGUGAAAUGCCAGGGCUCAACCUUGGAACUGCCUUUGAUACUGGAGACCUUGAGUCCGGGAGAGGUGAGUGGAAUUGCGAGUGUAGAGGUGAAAUUCGUAGAUAUCGGGAGGAACACCGGUGGCGAAGGCGGCGAUCUGGGUAGAUACUGACGCUGAGGUGCGAAAGCGUGGGGAGCAAACAGG
rnacentral:rRNA from 1 species